CUACGGGAGGCAGCAGUGGGGAAUUUUGGACAGUGGGGGAAACCCUGAUCCAGCCAUGCCGCAUGCAGGAUGAAGGCCUUCGGGUUGUAAACUGCUUUUGUACGGAACGAAAAGGCCCUUUCUAAUAAAGAGGGCUCAUGACGGUACCGUAAGAAUAAGCACCGGCUAACUACGUGCCAGCAGCCGCGGUAAUACGUAGGGUGCGAGCGUUAAUCGGAAUUACUGGGCGUAAAGCGUGCGCAGGCGGUUAUAUCAGACAGAUGUGAAAUCCCCGGGCUCAACCUGGGAACUGCAUUAGUGACUGUAUAGCUGGAGUGCGGCAGAGGGGGAUGGAAUUCCGCGUGUAGCAGUGAAAUGCGUAGAUAUGCGGAGGAACACCGAUGGCGAAGGCAAUCCCCUGGGCCUGCACUGACGCUCAUGCACGAAAGCGUGGGGAGCAAACAGGAUUAGAAACCCGUGUAGUCC
rnacentral:rRNA from 1 species